rnacentral:rRNA from 1 species
UACGGGGGGAGCAAGCGUUGUUCGGAUUUACUGGGCGUAAAGGGCGCGUAGGCGGUCAGCACAAGUCAGUUGUGAAAUCUCCGGGCUUAACUCGGAAAGGUCAACUGAUACUGUGCGACUAGAGUGCAGAAGGGGCAACUGGAAUUCUCGGUGUGGCGGUGAAAUGCGUAGAUAUCGAGAGGAACACCUGCGGCGAAGGCGGGUUGCUGGGCUGACACUGACGCUGAUGCGCGAAAGCCAGGGGAGCGAACGGG